GGAACUCACAGAUCAGCCUGCCUCUGCCUCUUGAGUGCUGGGACUAAAGGUGUGCGCCACCACUGCCCUGCUGUGAUAAAUUAUUUCUAGAUGGAAUCUCCUUAAACUUUUAGCUUGCUUCUGUCACAUGCCAAGGGACACAGACACUGCAAAGCAACAGCCCUUGAGCAGUUUUCUUCUGGCCUGCCAUGAUUUCUGUCUGGGCAGAGCGAAAGGACCUCAGCCAGCUGGUUGGGUGACACAGUCACCCUUGUCAGAGAUCAUCUGACUGGAUGAUCUUUUGCCUGCUCUCCCUCACUGGCGUAUACGGUUUUGGUUACCAUUAAGUUAGAAUAAAUUUUGAAAUCAAAAAGUGUGGCCAGGUGCUGUGAUACACAUAUUAAAUUCCAUUGCUUGGGAGUCAGAGGCAGGUGGAUCUCUGAGUUCAACCCUGGUCUACAGAGCAAAUUCCAGGACAACCAGGGCCAUACAGGGAAACCCUGUCUUGAAAACUUAAUAAUAAUAAUAAUAAUAAUAAUAAUAAUAACAAUAAUAAUAAUGUGUGAGACCUCAAACUUUGUUUUUUGUCUGAUUAUUUUGGCCAUCUGCAGAUCUGUGAUGGUGCUAUGUCAGUUUUAGGCUGGGUUUUCUGUGUCUGCUUUUUACACCCUCAUUGGGGCGUAGCUUGGGGACACACUGACUCUGCUUGCUGCUUUAGAUAACCUGGGCAACUGAUUUAAGUGUAGCUUCUAGUUGUGGUAGCUCACACGGUAAUCUCAGAACUCAGAAUGCUGAGACAGGAGGAUUACUGCAACUUCAGCAGCGGCCUGCUCUGCAGAGAAAGCAUUAAACUGCACAAGGCGAUGUGAUGUACCCUGCCCCUGUCUCAAAAACAAUCAGACAAGACAAAAAAAAAAAAAAAA